GGGGAAUAUUGCACAAUGGGGGAAACCCUGAUGCAGCGACGCCGCGUGGAGGAAGAAGGUCUUCGGAUUGUAAACUCCUGUUGUUGAGGAAGAUAAUGACGGUACUCAACAAGGAAGUGACGGCUAACUACGUGCCAGCAGCCGCGGUAAAACGUAGGUCACAAGCGUUGUCCGGAAUUACUGGGUGUAAAGGGAGCGCAGGCGGGAGAACAAGUUGGAAGUGAAAUCCAUGGGCUCAACCCAUGAACUGCUUUCAAAACUGUUUUUCUUGAGUAGUGCAGAGGUAGGCGGAAUUCCCGGUGUAGCGGUGGAAUGCGUAGAUAUCGGGAGGAACACCAGUGGCGAAGGCGGCCUACUGGGCACCAACUGACGCUGAGGCUCGAAAGUGUGGGUAGCAAACAGGAUUAGAUACCCUGGUAGUCCACACCGUAAACGAUGAUUACUAGGUGUUGGAGGAUUGACCCCUUCAGUGCCGCAGUUAACACAAUAAGUAAUCCACCUGGGGAGUACGACCGCAAGGUUGAAACUCAAAGGAAUUGACGGGGGCCCGCACAAGCAGUGGAGUAUGUGGUUUAAUUCGACGCAACGCGAAGAACCUUACCAAGUCUUGACAUCCCUUGACGAUGCUGGAAACAGUAUUUCUCUUCGGAGCAAGGAGACAGGUGGUGCAUGGUUGUCGUCAGCUCGUGUCGUGAGAUGUUGGGUUAAGUCCCGCAACGAGCGCAACCCUUAUGGUCAGUUACUACGCAAGAGGACUCUGGCCAGACUGCCGUUGACAAAACGGAGGAAGGUGGGGAUGACGUCAAAUCAUCAUGCCCUUUAUGACCUGGGCUACACACGUACUACAAUGGCGUUAAACAAAGAGAAGCAAGACCGCGAGGUGGAGCAAAACUCAGAAACAACGUCCCAGUUCGGACUGCAGGCUGCAACUCGCCUGCACGAAGUCGGAAUUGCUAGUAAUCGUGGAUCAGCAUGCCACGGUGAAUACGUUCCCG
rnacentral:rRNA from 1 species